GUGACCUUGGGGAUGUCUUAGGACGCCUGCACCAUCCGCCCGCUUGUCGCAACGCUCUCCUUCCACCAGGUCUUCGAGGUGACGGGCCUCAGCGGAUGCAUCACACAGGUGUGAGGAUCAAAACAUACAUAUCUCAAUUUCGAUGUGAUCCAUGUGCAAUUGGUUGAAUUGAUAUCAUGGCAAUGAUUUUUCUUCCGAUGCUGGUUUGUGGCAUCCGCGCAAGCCGCAACAACGCGCCACAGGUCCCGUGGCUGAUGCGGGAGGGAGGAGGUUACAUAGUGAGGAGGAGACAGAGGUGGCGGCGGAAGAGAUGGAGCAGCAGCAGAAGGAAGAUUAAACCUGAAUAUCAGCUCCAGCUUCAAUAUACUAUGCUAUAUUGCCUACAACAGCAAGGUGUUCCCUUGGCUCUCUCUCACUGCAUUUUUCUACAUCUUUACAGUGGUCAUAUUUAAUCAUGUUUUAUUGGCUGUUUCUCUUCUUACAAAUAUUUGUUGUCUACAUGCCACUAUAUGCAGUAAGAUGCUUGCAAAACCGUGCAGCAGGUUCCUCUUUCAAUUCUUGAGGGUUAUUUGCACAAAAAUGUGCAAAUGAAUUCACUGAUCAAUAUAAGCUACAGAAGAGGUGGAUUUCAGGUUUGAUUAGUUGACUUGCUUGCUGCCAAUUAGAAGAAAGGUGUUUCACGAUAUACUUGGUUGAUCUUACUGAUGUUAAGAAGAGGACACAGAGCUGGGACUUUAAGCCAUACCUUUUUUUCUACGAAAUGACAGUGACAAGCCAGAUGAGCAGCCACCAGCCCUUCUCCACCAUGUUGUCGAUAGUUUUGGGUGGAAGAAGCAUGAGUUUAUCCGAGCUUGACGCUGGAUCUUUAUUUAGUAUGUCCCUUCACAGGCCACCUCACUCAUUGCUGGUAUGUUGUUGCACUCCGUCUCUCCUCCGUGCUUAUAUAAUUACAGAAUACUGAUCUAUCAUGCAUACAAAGCCAAACCGUUUUAUUCUGAUGUUACAAUCUGAGAAGUACAAGUAGUAACUGAGUAGAUCCACUUACCUUCAGUCCUUAAAGGUUUAAGUUUUGUAAACUAUAAAUGGCAGGCCUUUUACAUAUAAGCAUUAUAGUGUGUGUGAGUAUUUUUAUGAUCAUUUAAGGUUUAACUAGAUUCUCAUAGCCGUCGCACAAAACUAUCUGCCAGUCUUCCCCUGUAUUUAGUUUUUCUGUAGUGAUAUUAGUAAAUAGUUUGUGGAUGGUAAAUGGGUCAUAUACAUUGAUGUGAUUUUUUUUGUUUGGCAAGUGCAGAUUUUGAUGUGGUCAUGCUAUAUUGUUCGCAGUUGGAAAUAUUUAGUACAAUGUUAGUUUUGCUCCGUGUCUCCAGAUUCCAGGGAUAUGAAGGUGGUUCUGCUCAUGUUGUCUGGGUCUCUGUCCAUUCUCAAGCAUUUGAUCGAUUGCGAGAAGAAAUUGUAUGGAUUUUUUUGAAUGCUUGAGCAAGGUAAAUUCUAUUCUCUGUACUGCUGAAAAAUCAUUCAUUAUCAUGCAUUGCGUUCAAUACAAAUUUAUGCCCUCCAUCUCUUUAGGUUGUUGCCACUCGCCACACUGUCCUUCUCUAGCUGUGCAUGCUAGCCUUUGAAAUGGUGCAAAAAUACUUCUAUAUUGAUUUCAGAUAUAACAUAGACGAUGAAGGGAAAUAUCUUUCUUUUUUAAUAUUUAUUCUACAAAGGUCUGCAAUGCAUUGCACUAUUGCAGUUCACUGCCAUGAACCCAACAAUGAUAAGGCAAAUCAGUAGAUAGUGUAUGAGUGUACUAAUCAGUAUACAAGCUUGACUACCAUGGUCACUGUCAUGGACUGAGUUUCUC